UACGUAGGGUGCAAGCGUUGUCCGGAAUUACUGGGCUUAAAGAGUUCGUAGGCGGCAUUGCAAGUAGGGUGUGAAAGCCCUCGGCUCAACCGAGGAAUUGCGCUCUAAACUGCAGUGCUUGAGGAACCUAGAGGUGAGCAGAACAGAUGGUGGAGCGGUGAAAUGCGUUGAUAUCAUCUGGAAUACCGGAGGCGAAGGCGGCUCACUGGGAGUUUUCUGACGCUGAGGAACGAAAGCCAGGGUAGCGAACGGG
rnacentral:rRNA from 1 species